UCUCUCCCAAGACCCUGAGAAAGGCUGCAUGAGAGGAUAUUUAGCAAGAGAUUUGAAAAAAGAUCACUUUGACUACAGCGUACUGAGUGGAGGGCGUAGGGGCCAAGAGGCAGGAAUGGAAGCAUGGCGAUCUGUGAGGAGUCCUCCACUGUGGCUCAGAUGAGAGAUGGCAGUGCCUUCCACUGGUACUGCAGCUCGUUAGUGAGAAAUGAGUAUGUAUUUUGGAAGCUGGAACCAACUGGACCCAAUGCAUUAGACAUGGAGAGGAAAAGGAAAGAGAGAGAGGAAGGAGUCAAGGAUAACUACUGAGUUUUUGGUUUAAGCAACUGGGUGGAUGCCAGUGCCAUGAAUGGUGAUUUGGAUUCUAGUUCUGCUGGGGGACCCAGGGCAGAUAAGUGACUUACUCUCUGCUGAGUCUCAGUUUUCUCAUCUGUAAAAUGGGGGUUGCCAUGGAGGUUUGAUGAGAUCAUGCACGGAAAGCACAGGUCUGGCACACGAAUAACCCUGAGAGGCAUACGGUAUCCUCAUCAUGAUGCUUUGGAAACUGUGGCUUGGAGGUUGCGACUUGCUCAAGGUCAUCCCACUGCCACCACUUGUCCAGGCUUUCUCUGUCAUCCCAAUAGUGGUGUCCUCCACCUCCGCAGCCAUCUCCAGUGCAGGUGCAGUACUGAAGAAGAGAAAUAAGGAACAGGUGUCAUCUGUUUCUCGGUCAAAUAACCUAAGCGCAGCACUGUAGGAUAGGAGCCAGGAGCCUGGCCACUGAAGCAGCAGCCAUCCCACGUGGUUGGUGGAGGGACAGCCCCAGUUGUCCGGGAAAGCCACGCUGCUGUAUCCUCAGUGCCCAGUCCAGCUGAGAACCGUGGGCCACAGAGCGUGCUGCGGUGGAAGCAGAGGAGAGACUAGGCUCCAGCUGCUCUGUCCAGGGGCCCAUCUGCCUCCUACCUCAUCCCGACACCUCAGACUUGCCGCUUCUACCUUUCCCGGACAAGAAGUGUUCCUACAAGGAUUUGGAAGUUUCAGAAGUGCCCUCCUGCCACGUGAAGGUCCUAUGCCUAGUUUCUGUGGUACCUCCUUCCUUCUCUCCAGCGUCAUGCGCCCCGGACAGCUGUAGCUUCCCCAGAUGCUCCCACAAGGCUCUUGGAUCAGGAAACUGAGGGCAAGGUGACAACCAGAUCAUGCGUUUCACCUCUCCGUGAAUGAAAGGGGCCGGAGCACCAGACAAGACAGACGUCGUUCUUGCCUUCAUGGGAUUUACAUUCCAGUUGGUGGGGAUAGGGGGAGAAUACAACAGUAUCUGCGUGACUAUAGAGGAUAUAGAUAUGUAUCGUGCGGCACAUUCUAUGAAGGAGAUAAAAUCGGAUGGCACAAUGGAGUCACGGUGUGCGUGCGGGGGGUGAGAGGGCUUCAACUGAAUGGUGGGGAAGUGUUCCCUGAAGGGGUGGCACUUGAGCAGAGACUUGAAGGAGCCCUGCUGGGGCUGUGGAAGAGCUGAGGGAGGACAAGACAGUUUGUACAAAGACCCUGAGGCAACACAGAGCUCAGUGUGUUGGAGGAAUGGAAAGGAGGCCAGUGUGGUUGGGGCAGAAUGCCCCUGAGGGAGACUGAUGGGAAGUGAGGUCGGAGACGCGACAGCGGGGAGGGAAGGCUCACAGGUAGUGCAAGGGGAGGAUUCGGGUUUCAUCCCCAAAGUUAUGGGAACCCGUGGAAGGGCUUUCCGCAGAGAAAUGAAAUGAUCUGAUGUGUGGUUUUUGAAGGCCCCUCUGGUUACCUAUUGGAGUACAAGAGUGUCUUGCUCUGCUGUCUGUCAGGGCUUUGAUUGCCCCCAGGCACUGGGGAGGCCUGACGAUGUAGGGACCCCCACGGGGACCUGGCAUCUGUCAUUCACCACUCCAUCUCCCUCUGUCUCCCCGCCUCACUGGCCUGCUGCACAGGCCCACUUUCCAGACUAGUAGGAACAUAGAGGAGACACUGUCCUUUGUGUCUCUUGACUAACUUUACUUGCAUCAUUUUACUGUUAUUAUUUUCUACAGAUGUUUGUGACAUUCUGAUUUUAAGUGAAUGACACAGACUCAUGGGCAAGGAAACAGCGGGAAGGAGGAGAGUGGCUUUUCUCCUUGAGUCUUUUCUUGCCACCCUUGCUGACUAUGAAUAUUACUGAGGAAUCUCAUUCUGGAGCAGAAGUCAAGCCACAGGUGGUUCCCAGGAUCCUUAGACCCCUGCUGUUACCUCCUUUCCACCCAUGGUUGCCUGGGGACGGUCUGUUCUGCUCCUGUCCAGGUGUUAAGGCUGGAUAAGCAGGGAGAGAAGGACCAAGCCGGGGCGUCGCUGGCCUCACCUCCUCCCCCUUUUACAACCCUCUAGGCUGAUAUAGAAUGAGAAACGCUACACUGCCUGUCACACCCCAACCCUGUCCAGUGCUUUCCUGAGGUCAACAGAGACUUGUCCUGAAAACACGCCCUGCUCUGGCCUGCAGAGUAUUAAGAGACUUUUCCAUAGGUCAGCGUUUGUUUCCCAGGCCUGGCUGACGCAUCCCCUUUAGCCUCUGAGGAACGGAGGGUGGUAGGGGUAUUUGGGGAGAGAGGGUAUGGUACGCGAUGGAGUAACCACUUUGAAAAAGCAUAUUUGAUAUAAUUUUAUAUUUCAAACCCCAAAACAGUUGUUUUAUGAUGUGGACCAGUGAAAGUCAGCUUCUGCUUCAUUUUUACUAAAGGUCAAGGGGUACUGAGAAGACAAGAUGGCAUCUCAAGCCCAAGUCAAUGGAGGGAGCUGUAUCCAGGGCUAAUUGAGGCAAAGCUCCAAGCUCCUCUCCAGAGCCCAUCCCAGCUCAGCACCCCCUUCGUUGCCAUCACCACACAUAACCCAUAGGGAGAUGUAUGCAGGAGUGAAACACUCAAGUUUUAGGGUCAUCAAGUUAUAUUCAAAUCUCGGUUCCCAUCCCAUUUCUGGCCGUGUGUUCUUUGGCAAGUUACCUAACCUAUAGUUAACCCACUAAAGCCCUAGUUUCUGGAGUUGAGAGCAUGGACUCUGGAGCCAGCUGUGUGGCUUGGAGUCCUGGUUCUGCUACUUGUUAGCUGUGUAACCUUGGGCAGGGUGACUCAUCUCCAGGCCUCCCUCAGUUUCCUCAUUUGUGGAAUGGGAAUAAUAACACACCUGCCUUAUAGGGUUGCUGUGAGGAUUGAAGUGAAUGUGUAUAGGUAUGCAUACACGUGUGUGUGUGUGUGUAUACACGUGUACAUUUAUGUAUAAAUGUGUGUAUGUAAGUGGGUGCCUGGGGCAUAGCAGGCACGUAUAGUACUGGCUGUUACUAUUAUUAUUUUAUCUUUGUUUAGCAUAAGACUAAAUUGUGUGUGAGAAAAAUAAGUCGAUUUCUUAAAACUCCGUAAGUAAAUCAUAUUGCAGGUGGUGUGGGGACACAGAAGUUGUGAUACUGCUGUUUGAUAACUGAAGUGAAACGCGAGGCUGGACCACAGCGUUCUAUCCUCUCCUUCACAUCUCACUGCUUCCCGCUGACUUCUCGAUCUUUUCCUGCUACUUCUUUUCUUUAUUGGAUUUUUCUAUGGUGUCGCUUAUGGAAGACCAGCCUCCUUAGGUCUCUAUUGAAUUCUUCUAGCCCUCUCAUCCUUCCUACUCCUCCACCUGCAGAAUUAUUCUCAUGAGGAUUCCAGAGUCCCAUAACCACUCUCCCCUCCAAGAGGGGGAGACACCUAUUGUAUCAUAGAUACAGCAGUUCUCAAAGUGUGGCCUCUGGACCGGCAGCAUCAGCGUCACCUGGGAACUUGCUGGAAACGGACAUUCUUGACCCCUCACCCUACACCUGCUGAAUCAAAAACUCUGGGGGUAGAGCAUUGCGAUUUGUCUCUUAACCAGCCCUUCAGGAGAUUUUGGUGCACGCUAAGGUUUGAGAGCCACUGUCCCAGAGGAAGAGUAGGUCCAGUGGCUUUGUGAUGUUGUUCAAGUUCACAGUCCUGUUCUGGACACCUGGGGCUCAUGUGAAACUGUAAGUCUCAGUUGUGAACACAGGGACCAGAGGCAGAAGGGGAGGUCGAAAGGGAGCCAGCUGGCCACUCUGAAUGACUUUUAGCCUGGUUCCCUCCUGAACCUUCCAAAGGUAGAGCUCAGGCAUGUCAGCCAGGCAGUCGGGGAGACAGGCUGGAUUCCCAUGUGGGCUCUGUCUGGAUCAGCUGUGAGGUCCUGGGGAGUCGCUUAACCUCUCUGGGCUUCCUUGUGGGUUGUAGCCCUGUGUGAAUAGAGCAGGAUUGUUUGGGGGAGUAAGUGAGGGAACAUUUGCAAAAACACUUCACGAGACUGAAAAUAGUCCUCUAUUGUAAAUUGUAACCAGACAAGUAAACUCCUUCCUGGAGUGAUCCUCAACUUUUUUCCGGUGGCCACACGUGGGACUGAUCAUGCUCACGUGCUGGACAAACUCCCAGAGCAUUCCAACUGCAACUUCUCCCAUUCCUCUCUUGCUCAGCAGAGAGAAUGUGGACAGCUCGAGUCAGAAGUUCCAAGGAGCAGAAACGAUGUCUCUCUGCCUCGUGGCCAUGACCUUGUCAGUCUCCUCUGCCUCACGCUAGCCCCGUUCAGCACUGUGCAGUAUUCCCAUCAGCAUCUCGCUAACCCUCCUCUCUUCCCCCUCCCUGGUUCCGUCCAUCUCUUGGAAGUGAGCCCCUUGCCUUGUCCCCAACAGCGUGGCCCUCUCCUGAGUCCUUCCACUCCAUGCCAUCAAAGGCCCUUUCCCAGAGCACGAGCAGACACCUAAGAACUUCACUUCACUCUGACUUUUUAUUGAGCGAGAGGGUGGCGGCCUCCAAAAGGAAGUCUCCAGGCUCCUAGCGAGGCGGCAGAGCUGGAGCUGCCUCUCCUCAUCUGGCUCUGCGCCGAGGUCAGGCUUUUACCAAGAUCGCCGUGCCACUGGCAGAAAGUCAAUAGUUGAUUACUUCUCUGUCUUUCCUCAGAAAGCCCUGUCUUGACAGCUCCAUCUAAAGGCGUCCUCUCCUCCUUAUUACAAUACUCCGUUGUGUUUUCUUCAUCGUGUUUUACCAGGAUCUGAAAUCAUUUUGUUUGUCGACACUUCCUGGUGACUGAGAAGUGCUGCUCAGGUCACAGGCUUGGUUUUAUAAUGCUCCGGUAAAAGCUGUUUGUUGUGCCUAAUAAUUAGAAACACGCACGUAGGCAUGCUUUCAGGUUAAGCAAACAAGCAUUUCUAUUUUAUUUAUUUAUUUAUUUUUUGCGGUACGCGGGCCUCUCACUGUUGAGGCCUCUCCCGUUGCGGAGCACAGGCUCCGGAUGCGCAGGCUCAGCGGCCAUGGCUCACGGGCCCAGCCACUCCGCGGCAUGUGGGAUCCUCCCGGACCAGGGCACGAACCCGUGUCCCCUGCAUCGGCAGGCGGACUCUCAACCACUGCGCCACCAGGGAAGCCCUAUUAUUAUUAUUAUUUUUUUGGCCGCACUGCACAGCAUGCAGGAUCUUAGUUCCCCAGCCAGGGAUCAACCCUGAGACCCCUGCAACGGAAACGCGGAGUCUUAACCACUGGACCGCCAGGGAAGUCCCUGGAGUCUUUUAUUAGUUUGGUCACAUAGUAAUCGUCUAACGUGCAUCUCAUUCCUGGAGAGUCCAAAUGCUAGACCUGAAAGGAUGUACCAGUAUCCUCCAACUCCAGGGCACUUCCAGAACGUAAACCUCGUGCGAGCUGGUAGCUUCUCUGUCUCGUUGACCAUAGUAUUCCCCGCACCUUGAGCAAGGCCUGACGUGGAGCAGAUACUCUGUAAAUAUAACUGAAUGAAGGAAUGAAAGACAAAUAAGGAUGUGGGCUGGUGUCUCCAUCUCUGGAGAAAGGAGUGCGCCUUUUUCUUCCUGACACCUUGCAGCGAGAGCCUUUUGGGAGAGCUAGCAUCAUGGUUUAGAGCAUGUGAAACCUUUAGAACAGUGCCAAGCCCACAGGAAGUUCUCUAUAAUAUUCCCUGUUCUCCGCGACCCAGGCAGAGGCCCCAGCAGCCUCAUUUCCCUUCCCAGGAUCCUAACAUUUAGCCCUUUAGUGUUCCUUGCAGCACACCCAGUGGAUGUUGGACAAAAUUCUGUACUGCUGUCUCUGAGUCCCACCCACCGGCUCCUGUCUUUUCAGGAAGCUGGUGGAGUAAAAGGAGCACUGGACCUGGAGGAUCAACAUAGAUUCUGGUUCAGGUGUGAACAUUGCCUGGCUGUAUAUCUUUGAGGAAGCUACUUAGCUUCUCUGGACCUUGGAGCCUCGCUGAUGAAAAAGGCAUAAGAAACCAACUUCAGUGAUUAUCUUAUGACUCAAUUGUGAUUAUAUGUGUGGAAACACUUUUAAAACUGCAGAACAGGAACUUCCCUGGUGGCGCAGUGGUUAAGAAUCCACCUGCCAACGCAGGCGACAAGGAUUCGAGCCCUGGUCUGGGAAGAUCCCACAUGCCGCGGAGCAACUGAGCCCGUGCGCCACAACUACUGAGCCUGAGCUCUAGAGCGUGCAAGCCACAGCUACUGAGCCCGUGUGCCACAGCUACUGAAACCCCAGAUGCCUAGAGCCUGUGCUCUGCAACAAGAGAAGCCCCCGCAACGAGAAACUCACACACCGCAACAAAGAGUAACCCCCGCUCGCUGCAAUUAGAGAAAGCCCACGCGCAGCAACGAAGACCCAACGCAGCCAAAAAAAAUAAAUAAAUAAAUUUAUUUUUAAAAACGCUGCAGAACACACUUCUUCUGAUUUAAGUUAUUGUUGUUAACCAAGUAUCUGAUGUAUUAGAGCAGCGAAGGCAGUCCCCAGCAGGCCCAGGACUAUGAGCCGUUCCUUGUCCGUGUGCUUUGCCUCUAACCCUUGCAUGUCCAAAUGCAAAUGAGUUGGUGAAAUUACGAGAAAGAUAGCUUCAACUCUGCUCUCAUUUAUUUUUGAAAUAUCAUAAAAGAUAUAUUUCCGAAACAUCCAUUCUUCAUUAUUGGUGACAAAUUAUUUACCAACUGUUUGUCUUAAUAUCUUGGUUCUAAGGGACAGAAAGUUGCCCAGGCUGAUUAAGGAAAAAUGGGAAGUUUGGGCUAUGGAAUUGAAGAGUCUGGGGCAAAGCUGCUUCAGGAAUGGCCCGAUCCAGGUGCUUAAAUGAAGCUGUUGGUCAUGUGUCUCCAUGUCUUAGCUCUGUUUUCUUAUGCCAGCUUCAUUCUCAGGCAGGCCCUUUCCAAGUAGUGGCCAAGGUGGCUCCCCAAAGUCCCAAGAUUACAUUUUACCAGCCUAGCAACCCUGUGGAAAGAGUGUGCCUCUUUCCAAAUCAUUCCAGAAGAAUCUAGAAAUGGUUGACUCUGGAUGGACUGGCUUGGGCAUGAACCCAAGUCUGGGUGGCAGGCCUUCCCCUGCAGCUGGUUUGGAGCCAGCCUUUUACCCCCAACCCCCCACCCCAUGCCACAUGGACUGAGAGGAGAGAAGGAGUGAUUGACUAAAGGAAAAGUGGGAUGCUGUUACCAGAAGAAGGAGGAAAGGAUGCUUGGCAGGCAAGACUCCAGGUAUCCACUCACAGCUGGUCACCACAAAGGAAACAGGCUCAGCACAGAGGUAAGGACUGUUAGAUAUAGGCCAGCUGAAUACCAGGGCGUUUCCGUACUCUGACGAGGAAGACCAGUUCUGCUAGUUGCCUCCCCACCUCAAUUUAUGUAAUCCCUCCACCAGUUUAUCUCAAGUCCUCACUCAGUUUUCUUGACCUUUCCUAGUCUGGCUUCACCCGUCCACUGGCAGUGAACUCCUCACCUUGUUCCCCAACUGGGUGACCCUGUGGUCACUUGGGCCUCUCAUCCUUUUCCUUUUCUGGGUCAGAUGUUAAGGCCCUUUCUCCCAGGCACUUGCUCUGUGUUUUGGGUGACUAGCCUCAUGCCAUUCCCGAGCAGAUGGCUCUCAGAGUUCAGCCCUGAAUGGACAUUUACCAACUUGUGGAACAAGGUGCAGAGACACAGGUACUUUCUGCCAUCUCAGGGUCUCCCAGGAGCCAAGAACAUUUACGCUUGAACUUGCAAUGUGUCAGGAAGGGGAAGUUCAAGAGUUGAGCUCUUUCUCAGGUCACUCAGCCCCGUUUCCCCCCAAACUCUGUUUCCACAAAUCUAAUUUAUCUUCUCUAGAUCUCAAGCCAUGAUUAUUCUUUCACAUGUGGUUCCGCUUUCAUAAUUCAGAUAUCCUGUGUUACAAUGAACUUGCAUAUGAGUUUGCUCACGUACUCCUGUCCCUGCCCCUGUCCUCACUCCUUGUUUGGUCUGUCUUCCCUAGUCAGAAUCCAAUUGAAUUGGCUAUUCCUCAGCCCUGUCUCACAAAACCACUCUAGAAUCCCUAGACACAUGAGUACCUAAGAAGGAAGUGGGGCCACGUGUUCAACUGUCCCCAGAGGGCUGGGGUCCUGACACAGCCCGUCACUGUGUGCAGGCAGGGCCUCUGAUUCUGUCUCCCAGUGUCCCGUCCCCUGACUCUGCAUCACCUCUGCCUUUUCCCCACCUCAGCUCUGCUUAAACCACAUCGAUCCAAGAUGACUCCAGUUUCCUUGGAAGCCAUUUGACAAAAACACAUAAAUACAUGAUAGAUUAUGCUUCGUGGUUCCACAGGAACUGUGUCUUGUCUGGGCCCAUGUUAUAUGGCCCAGAAACAACAGAGGCUACAUUCUCAUCCCCACGAACCAGGACGCUUGACACUGCCACCCCCCUAGAUCCUCCCUCAGAAUCCCAGCAUCUUAUUUUCCUUUUACUCCAUUGUCAAUCUGAGCUCUCCUCCAGGACCCAGACUUUCUUCCAGUCACCAUUUCUCCCCAGCACAGGUACACUUCCCAUAUAAACAACAGAAUGGGGGGAGAAACCCCUCUCUGCUACAUUUAAUUGUAUCAUUCUACCUUUAUGCUCUCCUUGUAUGUUCCUAACAAUCUGGAUUUGGUUAAGAAAGAUGAGGAAUGGGGAGAGGGACCACUCUCCUUUACCCCAGGGGCCUGGAAAGGUUCUCUGCCCCACUUUGCCCAUGUGUAUAUAUGUAUAUGGACAUACACACGUAGUCCAUAUACACGUACAUGCCAUGUGUUUGUCUGGCGCAUAUGCCAAUCCACUGGGUUACUUUGAGGGUCUCAGGCCUCAUCUGAGCUCCUUUUCCUGUUGGCAGGUAGUGCAUGCCUGGUCUGUUCCCUCCCAGUCAUGACCUUAUGUUGACUACAAGCCCAGAGUUGGAAGAAGAGCUCGUGGGAAGGAAGGCGGUAGUGGUAGUGGGGUUUCUGUACUAUGAGUCUCUUUUUUUGCUUUGCAGAAAGAGCUGGAUUUAUGCUCUCACUUUGGAGAGUAGUUGGCAGUUUCUGCUGAAACUGAAGAUGCGGAUGCCAGGGCUCACAGUAUUUCCCUCCUUUGAGGAAUUUUCCCACAAGUGUACGAAAAGACACGUGCAAGGAUGUUCGAGGCGGCGUUGUUAAUGCUGGUAGAAAAUCUUCAAGUCCACAAAUCAUUUCACUCUUCCCCGCCUUCCUCUUAUCACUCUGUACCCUGCCCCUGUGGCAGGGCUUCCUCAUGGGGGUGAUAUUGUAAAUGCUAGAGUUGGGCUCUUAGUAGACUUCCCGUAAGCCAUCGGUUCUCCAGCUAAGUGGGGAUGGGGGCAUAUAGCCUCUGCCAGGUGAGCUGGUGACAAUCUCAGAGGGACAUUAUGCAAGCAGGAUGGAGUGGGUGGCUUGAAAGUACAUGUUUAACAUAAUUUUAUAUUUGCCAAACGAUAAUACACUGCACAAUGCCCCAGGAAUUAUUUAUUUUAUCAGCAGGUGCAACAGUAGUUGCAUUGAGCUAGAUUAUAUGAACUAGAUGUUAUCAAGUACUCUAACUGCAAAAGAGGGGCUUUCACUGUGGCUUUGCAAACCUCCCACGCGUAAAGCACACUAAGUAUGCUCAUAAAUUUUACCCUGAUGAGCUUUUCUUAAUCGUUUUUUUUUAAGGAUACUUUUUUUAAGAUGUUUUUUUGAUAUGGACCAUUUUUAAAGUCUUUAUUGAAUUUGUUACAGUAUUGCUUCUGUUUUAUGGGGGGUUUGUUUUGUUGUUUUUUUGGCCACGAGGCAUGUGGAAUCUUAGCUCCACGACCAGGGAUUGAACCUGCACCCCCUGCGUUGGAAGGUGAAGUCUUAACCACUGGACCACCAGGGAAGUCCCCUUUCUUUAAUCCUUUAACCUCUUUCUUUAACCUUUGCUGACAAAAAAUCAAACGUACAGUUUUUUUCAGGAUGACACUGGCAAGUAUAAUUAGUAUUGAGCCUUCCCCUUCCUCCAGGUAAUAUAACUUCUAAGAUCAGAAAUUCUAUCUAUAUUUUAGAACAGCAUAUCACCACCUAAAUGAAGGUGAAGUAAUCCUGUCCCAUAAAACAAAAAGAAAAACUCCAGUGCAAACAAUCUUUAGAACAAGAUUCUUGACUAGCAUAAAGUGAUGAACAUGUUGGCCUGUGCAGAGCAAUUAUAAAUUAUUUAUCUAAACCAGUUUUGUUACUUUCUAUCUUGUGAUAGAAUUGUUCUGGUUUUUACAUCUCACUUAAUACAUCAAAAAGGUUUGCAUUUCACCAGGCAGACUUUAAACUCACGUCUAUGAAAGUUUAAGUGGCAUUAAACUUUAACUAUGAAAUUUUGAAUCAUUAGAUGCUUAAACACCAAGUAGCAUGAUGUUUUAUGUCUGUGCAAUUGCAUUCAUCAGAACGAGCAUGUUGGUCAUCUUACUGGACCAACAGUUCUCAAACUUGUUGAUCUCAGGACCCUUUCAUACUCUUAGAAAUUGCUGAGGACCCCAAAGAGACUUUUUACAUUUUUAUAGAUUUUAGAUGUUGACAUUUACGAAAGCUAUUGACAUUUACCAUAUUAGAAAUUAAGACUUUUAUUUUUUAAAUAUGUAUUAAUUUAUUUAAAAAUAAUAAUCGUAAGACCAUUAUAUGUUAAUAUAAAUAGCAUAUCUCCAUGAAAAUAACUUUGUUUUCAAAAAAAAAAACUACUGAGAAGAGUGGCAUUGUUUUACAUUUUUGCAGAUCUCUUUAAUGUCUAGCUUAAUAGAAGGCAGCUGUUUUCUCAUAUCUGUUCUUCAUUCAGUCCAUUGUGAUAUCACGUCAGGUAGUCUCUGAAAAACUCCGUUGUACAUUCAUUUGUGAGAGAAUGAGAUAAAAAAAAAAGGAAUUAGUAUCUUAAUAUCAUUAUGAAAAUAGUUUUGAUCCCACAGAUCACUGAAACGAUCUCUAGGCCCCCCAGGGGGUCUCCAGACCACAUUUUGAGAGCUGCUCUACUAGAUUCACAUAGUUAGAUGCCAUCUGGAUUGGUUUUUCCUCAAUUUGUGCUAUUUAAAGGGAAGAAGAAAGAAAGGGAGGAAGCAACUAAGG